UACGGGGGGAGCAAGCGUUGUUCGGAUUUACUGGGCGUAAAGGGCGCGUAGGCGGCCACCGCAAGUCGACUGUGAAAUCUCCGGGCUUAACCCGGAAAGGUCAGCCGAUACUGCGGGGCUAGAGUGCAGAAGGGGCAACUGGAAUUCUCGGUGUAGCGGUGAAAUGCGUAGAUAUCGAGAGGAACACCUGCGGCGAAGGCGGCUCUCUGGAACGGUACUGACGCUGAGACGCGAAAGCGUGGGGAGCGAACAGG
rnacentral:rRNA from 1 species